UACGAAGGGUGCUAGCGUUGUUCGGAAUCACUGGGCGUAAAGCGCGCGUAGGCGGCUUUUCAAGUCAGGGGUGAAAUCCCACGGCUCAACCGUGGAAUUGCCUUUGAAACUGUGAAGCUAGAGUGUCGGAGGGGAUAGCGGAAUUGCUAAUGUAGAGGUGAAAUUCGUAGAUAUUAGCAGGAACACCGGUGGCGAAGGCGGCUAUCUGGACGACAACUGACGCUGAGGCGCGAAAGCACGGGGAUCAAACAGG
rnacentral:rRNA from 1 species